GACGAACGCUGGCGGCGUGCUUAACACAUGCAAGUCGAACGGAAAGGCCCCCUUGUGGGGUACUCGAGUGGCGAACGGGUGAGUAACACGUGAGUAACCUACCCUUGCCUUUGGGAUAACUUCAGGAAACUGGGGCAAUUACCGGAUAGAAGCUCCUCCUGCUUGGUGGGGGUGGGAAAGUUUCGGCGGUUGGGGAUGGACUCGCGGCUUAUCAGCUUGUUGGUGGGGUAGUGGCUCACCAAGGCUUUGACGGGUAGCCGGCCUGAGAGGGUGACCGGCCACAUUGGGACUGAGAUACGGCCCAGACUCCUACGGGAGGCAGCAGUGGGGAAUAUUGCACAAUGGGCGGAAGCCUGAUGCAGCAACGCCGCGUGCGGGAUGACGGCCUUCGGGUUGUAAACCGCUUUCGCCUGUGACGAAGCGUGAGUGACGGUAAUGGGUAAAGAAGCACCGGCUAACUACGUG
rnacentral:rRNA from 1 species